UACGUAGGGGGCAAGCGUUGUCCGGAUUUAUGGGGCGUAAAGAGCUCGUAGGUGGUUCGGUAAGUCGGAUGUGAAAUCUCCAGGCUCAACCUGGAGGGGUCAUUCGAUACUGCCGUGACUAGAGGUCGGUAGGGGAGUGUGGAAUUCCUGGUGGAGCGGUGAAAUGCGCAGAUAUCAGGAGGAACACCCGUAGCGAAGGCGGCACUCUGGGCCGAUACUGACACUGAGGAGCGAAAGCGUGGGGAGCGAACAGG
rnacentral:rRNA from 1 species